GCUGCUGUUUGCAGGGUGCUGCUGGGGAAGUGUGGAGCAAGGAAGUUUUCCAAUGGGCUGCAAGCACAGACUAUGCCAUUUAUGUGGAAAAAAUUAAUCUCCAGACCUUCUGAGAUGCAAAGAAACGUUUGGCAGCUGGGAACCAGGGAGGUUAAGGCAGAGAUUUUGCUACCUAAAACAGGUGGAAGAUGGGUUCCCAAGGAAACUCCACCACGUGGCCACGUGAUGGAUCUCCUGCGAUGUACGUGGUAGAUGCAGUCUGUCUUCACUGCGAGCCUGGAGCAUGAGGCCAGC